GACGAAGGAUGCAAGCGUUAUCCGGAUUCAUUGGGUUUAAAGGGAGCGUAGGUGGCCUUAUAAGUCAGUGGUGAAAUCUCUGGGCUUAACCCAGAAAUUGCCAUUGAUACUGUAGGGCUUGAGUAUAGUUGCCGUUGGCGGAAUAUGACAUGUAGUGGUGAAAUACAUAGAGAUGUCAUAGAACACCGAUUGCGAAGGCAGCUGACGAAACUAUAACUGACACUGAGGCUCGGAAAGUGAUGGGGAUCAAACAGG
rnacentral:rRNA from 1 species